rnacentral:rRNA from 1 species
AUACGAAAGGUGCAAGCGUUGUUCGGAUUUACUGGGCGUAAAGAGAGUGUAGGUGGUUUAUUAAGUCGGAUGGGAAAUCCCGGGGCUCAACCUCGGAACUGCAUUCGAUACUGAUAGGCUAGAGUUUGGGAGGAGUAAGCGGAAUUCCGUGUGUAGCAGUGAAAUGCGUAGAUAUACGGAGGAACACCUGAGGCGAAGGCGGCUUACUGGACCAAUACUGACACUGAGACUCGAAAGCGUGGGUAGCAAACAGGAUUAGAAACCCUAGUAGUCC